rnacentral:rRNA from 1 species
GAAACCAACAGGGAUUGCCUUAGUAGCGGCGAGUGAAGCGGCAAAAGCUCAAAUUUGAAAUCUGGCACCUUCGGUGUCCGAGUUGUAAUUUGAAGAUUGUAACCUUGGGGUUGGCUCUUGUCUAUGUUUCUUGGAACAGGACGUCACAGAGGGUGAGAAUCCCGUGCGAUGAGAUGCCCAAUCCUAUGUAAGGUGCUUUCGAAGAGUCGAGUUGUUUGGGAAUGCAGCUCUAAGUGGGUGGUAAAUUCCAUCUAAAGCUAAAUAUUGGCGAGAGACCGAUAGCGAACAAGUACAGUGAUGGAAAGAUGAAAAGAACUUUGAAAAGAGAGUGAAAAAGUACGUGAAAUUGUUGAAAGGGAAGGGUUUGAGAUCAGACUCGAUAUUUUGUGAGCCUUGCCUUCGUGGCGGGGUGACCCGCAGCUUAUCGGGCCAGCAUCGGUUUGGGCGGUAGGAUAAUGGCGUAGGAAUGUGACUUUGCUUCGGUGAAGUGUUAUAGCCUGCGUUGAUGCUGCCUGCCUAGACCGAGGACUGCGAUUUUAUCAAGGAUGCUGGCAUAAUGAUCCCAAACCGCCGC